rnacentral:rRNA from 1 species
UCGGGAAUUUUGCUCAAUGGGGGAAACCCUGAAGCAGCAACGCCGCGUGCGGGAUGAAGGCCUUCGGGUUGUAAACCGCUUUUAUCAGGGACGAUGAUGACGGUACCUGAUGAAUAAGUCACGGCUAACUACGUGCCAGCAGCCGCGGUAAUACGUAGGUGACCAGCGUUGUCCGGAUUUACUGGGCGUAAAGAGCGCGCAGGCGGUCGUUCAAGUCGAGUGUGAAAGCCCCCGGCUCAACUGGGGAGGGUCAUUCGAUACUGAUCGACUCGAAGGCAGGAGAGGGAAGCGGAAUUCCCGGUGUAGUGGUGAAAUGCGUAGAUAUCGGGAGGAACACCAGUGGCGAAGGCGGCUUCCUGGCCUGUUCUUGACGCUGAGGCGCGAAAGCUAGGGGAGCAAA